UCACUACGGGUUUCUAACAGGAGGUCACUACACUGCAGAAAUCAAAUCCUUUGAAACUGGAAACUGGUACUGCUUCAAUGACAAUACUGUUAAACAUGUCAAACAACAUGAUUUUGAAUUAGAAAAGAACUUGACGAGGUCGAGCACGGCUUAUCUUCUUAUGUACAAAAAAGUGCGUGAACUAACAAGACGGACUGAUGGACGGGACCUGAAAGCUCAACGUGUACGUUCAGACGUGCAGACUGAAGACGGAUGGGACGAAUCAGAGCUCAGAAGCUUUCCUGUUUCUGAUUAUCAUCUGAAGAACGAAAGCUGCAGAGGAGGGAAUUAUAAGCACUUAAACGGUGAAAUACCCUCUGAUUAUGUGUUUGGGAGGAAACGGACAUGUUCUUUAAGAAGAGAGAAGAAACAGCCAAACCAGAGAGCAGGACUGGUGGGACUUCAAACAGACCCUGAAGCACCGCAGCAGGAAACAAAGAACCACAGGAGCAAUGUGAACUCUGAAAA